rnacentral:rRNA from 1 species
GAUGAACGUUGGCGGUGUGCCUAAUACAUGCAAGUCGAACGGUGACGAUUUUGUAGUAAUACGAAUGAAAUCACAGUGGCGAACGGGUGAGUAACGCGUUGGUGAUCUGCCUCGAAGUGUGGAAUAACGCUCCGAAAGGAGCGCUAAUACCGCAUGUGCUCUCGAUGUUUAGAAAGUUGAGAGUAAAGGAUUUAUUCGCUUCGAGAGGAGCCUGCGUCCCAUCAGCUGGUUGGUAGGGUAACGGCCUACCAAGGCAAUGACGGGUAGGGGACCUGAGAGGGUCGGCCCCCCACAAUGGAACUGAAACACGGUCCAUACACCUACGGGUGGCAGCAGUAGGGAAUAUUAGAAAUGGACGAAAGUCUGAUCUAGCGACACCGCGUGUGCGAAGAAGGCCUUCGGGUUGUAAAGCACUUUUUGGAAGGAAUAGGAAGGAAGGUACUUCCAGAAUAAGUCUCGGCUAACUACGUG